rnacentral:rRNA from 1 species
GACGAACGCUGGCGGCGUGCCUAAUACAUGCAAGUCGAACGCUUCUUUCCUCCCGAGUGCUUGCACUCAAUUGGAAAGAGGAGUGGCGGACGGGUGAGUAACACGUGGGUAACCUACCCAUCAGAGGGGGAUAACACUUGGAAACAGGUGCUAAUACCGCAUAACAGUUUAUGCCGCAUGGCAUAAGAGUGAAAGGCGCUUUCGGGUGUCGCUGAUGGAUGGACCCGCGGUGCAUUAGCUAGUUGGUGAGGUAACGGCUCACCAAGGCCACGAUGCAUAGCCGACCUGAGAGGGUGAUCGGCCACACUGGGACUGAGACACGGCCCAGACUCCUACGGGAGGCAGCAGUAGGGAAUCUUCGGCAAUGGACGAAAGUCUGACCGAGCAACGCCGCGCGAGUGAAGAAGGUUUUCGGAUCGUAAAACUCUGUUGUUAGAGAAGAACAAGGACGUUAGUAACUGAACGUCCCCUGACGGUAUCUAAACAGAAAGCCACGGCUAACUACGUG